UCCCAAAGUCCUGGGAUUACAGGCAUGAGCCACCGUACCCAGCCACUCUUGAUUAACUUGAUGGAAAUAUUUACAGAGAUUCUUUCUCUUCUGGGUUCUAGCAUCUUAUCUGUAACAUCUGCAGGGGAGUCACUGAGCAGAAGGAAGCGAGUUGCCUGAGAUUCUUCAAAGCCUGCAGCCCUUUUGGAGGUUACAUUUUUAUUCUCAGAGCCUUUACGAUGCAUAAUAAAGACCUAGCUUGGACCAAUAAUUGGAUGAGUUAUCUUGCUAUUAACAUUCUUUUAGGAAGAAGUUGCUGGUCCCAUCUUGCUCACAAUCCUCCAAAGUUUGAAAGUUAUUUUCCAGGAGACUUAGCUUGCACUGAGAGCUGCCCUCCCACCCUCUCUCCAAAUUUCCUCUUGGGAGUAGCCUAACAAGGUGCUGUCACAGACCCUUGCCAGCCACGAUGACCCCACCCAGACCAUCCCUCUGCUGUUUCACUCUUUGAUACUCUCUGGAGCUCUCUGGGGAGGGGUGAGACCUGCCGUCUGGUUUGUAUGGUUUGCCCAGGUCUGGCAGUCAUGGCUGGCUGCCUCUCUCUGAGAACUGAGACUCCUGAACUUGGUGAAAUACCUCAGUCAUCGAUCGUGUUGAAUUAUCGGGGACAGUCAUUUAAAAUCCGAGCCUGUUCCAGAUGGACUCUCUCUGUUUCUGCCCUGAACGUGAGAGAAGCCCUGCUGGACGGUGGAGAUGCUCGUGGGUUGUGAGCAAGGGAUGGAAAGGCUGCCGGGAAUCCCAUCUUUCCAGCAUCAUCUGCCAAGGCACAUCAGUUCCUGGGUAUCUUGAUGGGUUCUGGCAGCAUUACUGUCAUUGAAGGAAAAAUUUUAGCCAUAUUAAAGGUGAAUGCAGCAAUCCCCACACAGGCUGCCUGGAAGGGAGGCGGGACAAGGGUAGGUUUUCCCUGUGACGGACAGGAGGCAGGCGGCCCUCCCACAGCCCUGGUGGCAAUGCAGAUGUGUCCCCAAAGGUACUGGGGGCCAGCUGGAGUGCUGUGCCGAGGCGGGCUCACCCGGGCCGUGGGUUCGCUCUGAUUGCAGCGGUUUCCCACCAGCUCUUUGGAGAGCUGGCAGAUGGCCCAGCCCCACCGCAGGAGCCACGAAUGGCAGAACAAGAUACAACAAUUUGAUAUCCACUUGCCAGACGAGCCGGGUGUCGUCAGUCGCCUGGCUCUGUGCCCAACCUCUUUUUGCAUAAACACUUAUGAGUUCAGCCAGGAGGAAAAGCACUCUGAUUAUGAAUUGAGCAGAAGGAAACAAAGUUUUGCAGAUAAACACCAAUGAGACAAAAAACCACGAAUAAGAAAAAUGACAGAAAAGGAGAACCUUCCCAGAAGCCUCCUGCCAGUGAACGGCCACCAGAGCAAGAGCAUGGAGGCCCUGGGUUUUGAACUGUGAGAUAAGGAAGAUGAUGAAAACCUCCCUAGCAGCCAGACAAGCACAAGAUUCCUGUGAAAUCCAGGUCUAAGUGUUUUGACCACAGAAGUAAUAUUAUGUCAUAGGUGAGAGCUGUGAGUUGCUGAACCCAAAGUGAGUUCAAAUCCGGGUUCUGCCUCCUGCAACCUGUGUGACUUUGAGAAGUUCCAGCACCGCUUUCUGCCUCAGUUUUCUCAUCUGUUAAAUGGGCAUAAUCACAGCUCCCGCCUCAGAGUUGUUGUAAAUUAAUACAUGUAAAGCACUGAAAUCAGCCUGGU